rnacentral:rRNA from 1 species
UACGUAGGGUGCAGGCGCUAAUCGGAAUUACUGGGCGUAAAGCGUGCGCAGGCGGUUUCUUAAGUCAGAUGUGAAAGCCCCGGGCUUAACCUGGGAACUGCGUUUGAAACUGGGAGACUUGAGUGUGGCAGAGGGGGGUGGAAUUCCACGUGUAGCAGUGAAAUGCGUAGAUAUGUGGAGGAACACCGAUGGCGAAGGCAGCCCCCUGGGUUAACACUGACGCUCAUGCACGAAAGCGUGGGGAGCAAACAGG